rnacentral:rRNA from 1 species
UACGUAGGGGGCUAGCGUUGUCCGGAAUCAUUGGGCGUAAAGCGCGUGUAGGCGGUUCGGUAAGUCCGCUGUGAAAGUCGGGGGCUCAACCCUCGAAUGCCGGUGGAUACUGUCGGGCUAGAGUGCGGAAGAGGCGAGUGGAAUUCCUGGUGUAGCGGUGAAAUGACGCAGAUAUCAGGAGGAACACCAAUUGCGAAGGCAGCUCGCUGGGACGCUACUGACGCUGAGACGCGAAAGCGUGGGGAGCAAACAGG